CAGCAGCCGCGGUAAUACGUAGGGUGCAAGCGUUAAUCGGAAUUACUGGGCGUAAAGCGUGCGCAGGCGGUUUGUUAAGACAGAUGUGAAAUCCCCGGGCUCAACCUGGGAACUGCAUUUGUGACUGGCAAGCUAGAGUCUGGCAGAGGGGGGUGGAAUUCCGCGUGUAGCAGUGAAAUGCGUAGAUAUGCGGAGGAACACCGAUGGCGAAGGCAGCCCCCUGGGCCAACACUGACGCUCAUGCACGAAAGCGUGGGGAGCAAACAGGAUUAGAUACCCCCGUAGUCCCUGUUUCUUAUAC
rnacentral:rRNA from 1 species